rnacentral:rRNA from 1 species
GAGUUUGAUCAUGGCUCAGGAUGAACGCUGGCGGCGUGCUUAACACAUGCAAGUCGAACGAACCUUCGGGUUAGUGGCGGACGGGUGAGUAACGCGUGGGAAUCUGCCCUCAGGAGGGGGAUAACGGUUGGAAACGACCGCUAAUACCCCAUAUGCCGAGAGGUGAAAUGAAUUUCGCCUGAGGAUGAGCCCGCGUCUGAUUAGCUUGUUGGUGAGGUAAUGGCUCACCAAGGCUUCGAUCAGUAGCUGGUCUGAGAGGAUGAUCAGCCACACUGGGACUGAGACACGGCCCAGACUCCUACGGGAGGCAGCAGUGGGGAAUUUUCCGCAAUGGGCGAAAGCCUGACGGAGCAACGCCGCGUGAGGGACGAAGGCCUCUGGGCUGUAAACCUCUUUUCUCAAGGAAGAAGAUAUGACGGUACUUGAGGAAUAAGCCACGGCUAAUUCCGUGCCAGCAGCCGCGGUAAUACGGGAGUGGCAAGCGUUAUCCGGAAUUAUUGGGCGUAAAGCGUCCGUAGGCGGCCUUUCAAGUCUGCUGUUAAAACGUGGAGCUUAACUCCAUCAUGGCAGUGGAAACUGAUUGGCUUGAGUAUGGUAGGGGCAGAGGGAAUUCCCGGUGUAGCGGUGAAAUGCGUAGAUAUCGGGAAGAACACCAGUGGCGAAGGCGCUCUGCUGGGCCAUUACUGACGCUCAUGGACGAAAGCCAGGGGAGCGAAAGGGAUUAGAUACCCCUGUAGUCCUGGCCGUAAACGAUGAACACUAGGUGUCGGGGGAAUCGACCCCUUCGGUGUCGUAGCUAACGCGUUAAGUGUUCCGCCUGGGGAGUACGCACGCAAGUGUGAAACUCAAAGGAAUUGACGGGGCCCGCACAAGCGGUGGAGUAUGUUGUUUAAUUCGAUGCAACGCGAAGAACCUUACCAGGGCUUGACAUCCUGAGAACCUUUAAGAAAUUAGAGGGUGCCUUCGGGAACGCAGUGACAGGUGGUGCAUGGCUGUCGUCAGCUCGUGUCGUGAGAUGUUGGGUUAAGUCCCGCAACGAGCGCAACCCACGUUUUUAGUUGCCAGCAUUUAGUUGGGCACUCUAGAAAGACCGCCGGUGAUAAACCGGAGGAAGGUGUGGAUGACGUCAAGUCAUCAUGCCCCUUACGUCCUGGGCUACACACGUACUACAAUGCUACGGACAAAGGGCAGCAAACUCGCGAGAGCUAGCAAAUCCCAUAAACCGUGGCUCAGUUCAGAUCGUAGGCUGCAACUCGCCUACGUGAAGUAGGAAUCGCUAGUAAUCGCAGGUCAGCAUACUGCGGUGAAUACGUUCCCGGGCCUUGUACACACCGCCCGUCACACCAUGGAAGUUGGCCACGCCCGAAGUCGUUACUUUAACCCUUGUGGAGAAGGACGCCGAAGGUGGGGCUGAUGACUGGGGUGAAGUCGUAACAAGGUAACC